rnacentral:rRNA from 1 species
GAUGAGCGCUAGCUACAGGCUUAACACAUGCAAGUCGAGGGGAAACGACAUCGAAAGCUUGCUUUUGAUGGGCGUCGACCGGCGCACGGGUGAGUAACGCGUAUCCAACCUGCCCACCACUUGGGGAUAACCUUGCGAAAGUGAGACUAAUACCCAAUGACGUCUCUAGAAGACAUCUGAAAGAGAUUAAAGAUUUAUCGGUGACGGAUGGGGAUGCGUCUGAUUAGCUUGUUGGCGGGGUAACGGCCCACCAAGGCGACGAUAAGUAGGGGGUCUGAGAGGAAGGUCCCCCACAUUGGAACUGAGACACGGUCCAAACUCCUACGGGAGGCAGCAGUGAGGAAUAUUGGUCAAUGGGCGAGAGCCUGAACCAGCCAAGUAGCGUGCAGGAUGACGGCCCUAUGGGUUGUAAACUGCUUUUAUAAGGGAAUAAAGUGAGUCUCGUGAGACUUUUUGCAUGUACCUUAUGAAUAAGGACCGGCUAAUUCCGUGCCAGCCGCCGCCGUAA